GUUAAGUAAAGACUUCUUAUGAAAACAAAAAGAUGCAGCUCAGGAAAUGAGCUUGGUCAUCUCACAGCUUUGUUGCUCCACUGCCAAGCUAAACCAAUGGCUAAACAUUAGAUUAUCAUUGUAAACAAUACACAGGGAAAUAAUUGCUAUCAGGAUUUACCCAAAAUGCAGAAGGUCGGUGUGACUAGAAAAUAAAUAACAUGAAAGAGGCGGAAGAGGACAGGGGAAAUUGCUCUGCAGAAGAAAAACAAAGAACAGCAGUCACAAACUUCUCAUGAACUCCUGAACUACCAAGUUAACCAAGAACACCUGAUGAGAAGAGUGUGUUCAGAGCAGGAUUGCAUCUGGAAGAUCAUUCCUUUUUAUUCAUUU